rnacentral:rRNA from 1 species
CCCUUAGAUGUUCUGGGCCGCACGCGCGCUACACUGGUACGUUCAACAAGUUUACAACCUUGACCGAAAGGUCUGGGUAAUCUUUUGAAUGCGUACCGUGCUAGGGAUAGAUUAUUGCAAUUAUUAAUCUUGAACGAGGAAUUCCUAGUAGGCGUACGUUAUCAGCGUGCGUCGAUUACGUCCCUGCCCUUUGUACACACCGCCCGUCGCUCCUACCGAUUGGGUGAUCCGGUGAAUGAUUCGGACCGGCGUAGUGCUAGCUACUAGUGCUGUACUGGAAAGUUUUGUGAACCUUAUCACCUGGAGGAAGGAGAAGUCGUAACA